UACGUAGGGUGCGAGCGUUGUCCGGAAUUAUUGGGCGUAAAGAGCUCGUAGGCGGUUUGUCGCGUCGACUGUGAAAACCUGGGGCUUAACUCUGGGCCUGCAGUCGAUACGGGCAGACUUGAGUUCGGUAGGGGAGACUGGAAUUCCUGGUGUAGCGGUGAAAUGCGCAGAUAUCAGGAGGAACACCGGUGGCGAAGGCGGGUCUCUGGACCGAUACUGACGCUGAGGCGCGAAAGCCAGGGGAGCGAACGGG
rnacentral:rRNA from 1 species